UACGUAGGGUGCAAGCGUUGUCCGGAAUUAUUGGGCGUAAAGAGCUCGUAGGCGGUUUGUUGCGUCGGCUGUGAAAUCCCGAGGCUCAACCUCGGGUCUGCAGUCGAUACGAGCAAACUAGAGUGUUGCAGGGGAGACUGGAAUCCUGGUGUAGCGGUGAAAUGCGCAGAUAUCAGGAGGAACACCGGUGGCGAAGGCGGGGUCUCUGGGCAACAACUGACGCUGGAGAACUCGAAAGCGUGGGGAGCAAACAGGAU
rnacentral:rRNA from 1 species